UGGAAUUACAGGUGUGAGCUACUACUAGCC
rnacentral:piRNA from 1 species